rnacentral:rRNA from 1 species
UACGUAGGCAGCGAGCGUUGUUCGGAUUCAUUGGGCGUAAAGGGUGCGUAGGUGGCGCGCUAAGUCAGGUGUGAAAUUUCGGAGCUUAACUCCGAAACUGCAUUUGAUACUGGCGUGCUUGAGGACUGGAGAGGAGACUGGAAUUCAUGGUGUAGCAGUGAAAUGCGUAGAGAUCAUGAGGAACACCUGCGGCGAAGGCGGGUUGCUGGGCUGACACUGACGCUGAUGCGCGAAAGCGUGGGGAGCAAACGGG